rnacentral:rRNA from 1 species
AUUGAACGCUGGCGGCAGGCCUAACACAUGCAAGUCGAGCGAGCGGCGGACGGGUGAGUAAUGUAUGGGAAACUGCCUGAUGGAGGGGGAUAACUACUGGAAACGGUAGCUAAUACCGCAUACCAUCAGAUGUACCCAGAUGGGCUUAGCUAGUAGGUGGGGUAAUGGCUCACCUAGGGGACGAUCCCUAGCUGGUCUGAGAGGAUGAUCAGCCACACUGGAACUGGGACACGGGCCAGACUCCUACGGGCUGCAGCAGUGGGGUAUAUUGCACAAUGGGCGCAAGCCUGAUGCAGCCAUGCCGCGUGUGUGAAGAAGGCCGUCGGGUUGUAAAGCACUUUCAGCGGGGAGGCGUUACUCGCAGAGGAAGCACCGGCUAACUCCGUGCCAGCAGCCGCGGUAAUUC